rnacentral:lncRNA from 1 species
GAAUGGAUUACCUGUGUGCUCAGAUAUGAUACCUUCAGCCCUUUGAGAGGAAGGGUGCGGGCUGAGACCUGGGCCAAAAGAGCCUUCAGGAUGGUGGAUUCUGCCCAGAAGCUGCCUCUUGUGUUUCCUGCAGGUGCCCUAAAAACAAUAUUUUCUAUGCGUUCUAUGAUGUGAAGAAGGUGGGGAAGCAAUGCCAGUUCCAACAAGCAGGUCUGCGCUGUAAGAACCACAAUCUGGCUUUCUACUAAGAAACCAGAGUUCCAACAAAUAGGCCCAGUUACCCAAAGCACCUGAUAGUGGUUUGUCAUAAUGGCCCAGAGGCUUCUCUGCUCAGGCAUUAAGCAUUUGGAGAUGGAAAUCUCGGCUCCAGUUUCCCUCUGCAGUGGGACUUAGUUCAUCUCAGCCUGAGUUGGUUUCUGCAGCAGCCCAACUCUGUCAAGCUCAAAGUUAAGAAAUUCUGUUAUGCAGUGGCAACAGAGGAGUGGAGGAAUUAAAAAAUAAGAAUCUUGUUCUAUGACCUUCCAGUUAUUAUUGUUUAAUUAUUAUUUUUAUGAGUUUAUAAGUUAUUUUAAGUCAUUUCUUUGUCCUUUCUCAAAAUGUAACAAAAAUUGUCAGCCAUUUUUCCUAAUUGCCUGCAAAUGACAGGCUAUGUCAAGUGAAUGAAAAUUUGAAUUUCUGUUGAGUCAACUGGUCCUUGAGUCACCAUUGUAGUGUUGGACAUCGCCUAGUCAAGCUCAGCCUGAAGUAGAAAAUAAAGACCUGCUGGAUUUCUUAUUCUUUUUUUCAAAUCUUCAGAAUUCCUACUACUGAUGAACCUUCCAGGAAAAAAAUGCUUCUGCUGGAAACUUACCCGCCUCCUAAAGACGCUGCUCGCCACUACUACUGAAGAGACACACUUGGCAGCCCGCAGUUACCUGAAGAUCAUGCACUCUCCAGGUUAGAAGGGACUUUUGAGUACUUAAUAUAGCGAUUCCUAAACCUGGCUUCUCAUCAGAAUUACCCAUGGAGGUUAAAACAAACAAGCAAGAAGAUUCCUCUCUAUCAUGGCCUUCUGAAUAAAAAGCCUCAGAGAGGCACUCGUUUACCUGAGAACUUUAGCAUAUUACAGCAAGGAGAAAGGGAGGAAAUACACAGCAGCAAAAUAAGGAUCAUAAAGCCAGCCUUUGUCACCUGAGAAAGGAGUUUCUCAAUUUCUUAAACGUCAAUAAACAUGUCAAGGCAGCAGUAGAGAGAACUCAGGAGAUGAAGAAAGUCCCAUCCCUGCCACAAACGAAGCAGGGAAAUCUUAUGACUCCCAGUCCUGGGAGAGUGGAAAGGAUGAAGGAGAUGGCAGAAGAGAGGAGGUGUGUGGAAUGCCAAGUAGCAAGGUCCAGACAGGCAUGAAGAAAACUAAGAACAU